rnacentral:rRNA from 1 species
UACGUAGGGGGGCUAGCGUUGUCCGGAAUCAUUGGGCGUAAAGAGCGUGUAGGCGGCCCGGUAAGUCCGCUGUGAAAGUCGGGGGCUCAACCCUCGAAUGCCGGUGGAUACUGUCGGGCUAGAGUGCGGAAGAGGCGAGUGGAAUUCCUGGUGUAGCGGUGAAAUGCGCAGAUAUCAGGAGGAACACCAAUUGCGAAGGCAGCUCGCUGGGACGUAACUGACGCUGGAGGAGCGAAAGCGUGGGGAGCGAACAGG